rnacentral:rRNA from 1 species
GAGUUUGAUCUUGGCUCAGAUUGAACGCUGGCGGAAUGCUUUACACAUGCAAGUCGAGCGGCAGCGCGGGGCAACCUGGCGGCGAGCGGCGAACGGGUGAGUAAUGCAUCGGAACAUGUCCUGUCGUGGGGGAUAGCCCGGCGAAAGCCGGAUUAAUACCGCAUACGUCCGAGAGGAGAAAGUGGGGGACCGCAAGGCCUCACGCGAUUGGGUUGGCCGAUGUCCGAUUAGCUAGUUGGUGAGGUAAAGGCUCACCAAGGCGAUGAUCGGUAGCUGGUCUGAGAGGAUGAUCAGCCACACUGGGACUGAGACACGGCCCAGACUCCUACGGGAGGCAGCAGUGGGGAAUUUUGGACAAUGGGGGCAACCCUGAUCCAGCCAUUCCGCGUGAGUGAAGAAGGCC